AUGGGCUUUGCCUUCCGCUGCUGCAACAACCAUGAAUUUUAGAAAAAUCAGGUAACGUGAGAGAAAGGAGAGACAAGGAAAAAACAGCCCAUUUGAAAUUACGAUAGGGACAUUGUCACCCAUUCGGCUGGACAGUAUACAAAGGCAGUGUGGGUUCCACUAGACAUCUGUUAUAACUUGCAUGUACUUCACAGUGUUGACUAGUAACAGGCACAGCUUAGAAUAAAAUAGUAUGUUAGCCGGAUUAAAAGGACUUUCUAAGCAUCAUGACCACUACACUACUACAAAGUGGUUAUGAGGCUGAGAGUCUUUGGGUGCUUUUUGUGUCCACCAGUACUCAUGUACACACGUUUAUAUGCAUAUGUAAAUGUGUGUACUACAGUAAAUC